GGGGUUGUGGCUCAGAGGUAGAGCACUCACCUACGAUGUGUGGGGUACUGAGUUCGAUCCUCAGAACCACA
rnacentral:tRNA from 1 species